rnacentral:rRNA from 1 species
GACGUAGGGCGCGAGCGUUGUCCGGAUUUAUUGGGCGUAAAGAGCUCGUAGGCGGCUUGUCGCGUCGAAUGUGAAAACCCACAGCUCAACUGUGGGCUUGCAUUCGAUACGGGCAGGCUAGAGUUCGGUAGGGGAGACGUGGAAUUCCUGGUGUAGCGGUGAAAUGCGCAGAUAUCAGGAGGAACACCGGUGGCGAAGGCGGCUUGCUGGGCCAGUUCUGACGCUGAGGAGCGAAAGCGUGGGGAGCGAACAGG